rnacentral:rRNA from 1 species
UAAGGAAUAUUGGUCAAUGGACGCAAGUCUGAACCAGCCAUGCCGCGUGAAGGAUGAAGGUCCUCUGGAUUGUAAACUUCUUUUAUAGGGGACGAAAUGCAUUUUUCUAAGAUGUUUGACGGUACCCUAGGAAUAAGCACCGGCUAACUCCGUGCCAGCAGCCGCGGUAAUACAGAGGGUGCAAGCGUUAUCCGGAUUCACUGGGUUUAAAGGGUGCGUAGGUGGGGUUUGUAAGUCAGUGGUGAAAUCUCCGUGCUUAACAUGGAAACUGCCAUUGAUACUAUAGAUCUUGAAUUAUCUGGAGGUCAGCGGAAUAUGUCAUGUAGCGGUGAAAUGCUUAGAUAUGACAUAGAACACCAAUUGCGAAGGCAGCUGGCUACAGGUUUAUUGACACUGAGGCACGAAAGCGUGGGGAUCAAACAGGAUUAGAUACCCUGGUAGUCCACGCCCUAAACGAUGGAUACUCGACAUUUGUGAUACACAAUAAGUGU